UACGUAGGGUGCAAGCGUUAAUCGGAAUUACUGGGCGUAAAGCGUGCGCAGGCGGUUGCACAAGACAGAGGUGAAAAUCCCCGGGCUCAACCUGGGAACUGCAUUUGUGACUGCAUCGCUGGAGUGCGGCAGAGGGGGAUGGAAUUCCGCGUGUAGCAGUGAAAUGCGUAGAUAUGCGGAGGAACACCGAUGGCGAAGGCGGCUCGCUGGGCUCUACCUGACGCUGAGGCGCGAAAGCGUGGGGAGCGAACCGG
rnacentral:rRNA from 1 species